UUUCAUUCAAAAAGUUUAUUUAAUGAUAGAUAGAAAGAUACAUAGAUAGAUGGACAGGUAUACUGAACAAAUGUAUAAAUGCAACGUGUAAAGUGUUCAUAUGCCACACCUGUUAUGGGGGGUGGAUUAUCUUGGCAAAAGAGAAAUUCUCACUAACAGGGAUGUAAACAAAUUUGUGCACAAUAUUUGAGAAAAAUAAGCUUGGGACUAACACUUCACAUGUUGUGUUUAUAUUUUUGUUCACUGUAAAUAUAAGUGUUAUUUAUCAUAUUUAGUCAUGAAUAGAUCCUAUUACUUAGAAAAUCUAUCAGAAGGUACAGCUGAAGAUAGAUAUUAUAACAUAAAAAAGGCAUAACUAAUCAUAGUUAAAAUCAUUGACUUUAUUUGAAGGUCUGCUUAUUAACUGCUUAUCAUGAUCAAAUAUUUAAUAGUUUCCUCAAACUAUUUAUAAAUCAUAUAGAAUAUGUUCACAUAUUUGUUCACAGAAAGUAGUACCUUCAAAUAAAGAGUUGCCUUUUAUUCAUUGAAUUAAUACAAUUUGAAAUACUUUACUUAAUUUAAUUAACUGAAAGUGACUUAAAGGACCAAUCAGCAGUUGAAACAAUAACAAAGAGACUUCCCGCCACUGUUUCAAUAAGAAGCUGAGGGAUGGGGCUGGAGAAAUAUUGUCACGCUCAAGUUCAUAGACCAGAGCUAUGGAUGCAAGGACUGACCAUCCAAUAUAUCAAAAUAAUAGUUUUAACCAUGUUUUAAGGCUAUACAUGAUUGUUUAUAUUUAAUUUUUUACAAUAGGUACAUAUAUAUUAUAAUUAAUAUAUAAGUAAAAAACAUUUAUGUAAUAACUGCUUCUUUAAGCCUGUUGGUGAGGAAAAGUAAAGGCGUGACUUGAAAAGGAUGGAAUAUUAAUCAGAAUUUACCACUGUAGCCACACUUGCUGCUAAAGCUUGAAAAUGUGGUGAUGAUGCAUUAUUCAAGUCUGCGGUGAAGUUUUUCUCCGAUAUGAACUCCAGCUUAACCUCUGGUGGUGGAGGGGCUGGUGUUGUGGAAGUGGAGUUGUUGCCUGGUUGUGUAGAAAAUAUUGCUUUUAUUGUCAAUGUAGCAUUUGUAUAUGAUGUCAUUGCAGUGAUAUGUGUAGUUGGAGGUAGAGUUCUGUGCGAGACUGAUUUCUUCAUCCCACUACCGCCCACACGGUUUCCAUUCCACACUCCACCAGCACCCGCUGGCUUUCUGUCCGACUCCCACCCGCUACCACAAGAUCUGGUCCCAAACCCAACUGCAGUCCCGCAAUAUUAUUUUAGUCAUAUGUGAUGCAGCUCACUUGCCAGCCAUGGUCCCAGCAAUUU
rnacentral:lncRNA from 1 species